AACCUUUACAAUGCACGCAAGUGCGAUAAGGGGACCCCGAGUGUUGGUGCCUAGCAUCAACUGUCUAACUGUCUAAAAAACAGUUAUUAGCAAGAGCCGGGUAAGACCGGUGCCAGCCGCCGCGGUAACACCGGCAGCUCAAGUGGUAGCCAUUUUUAUUGGGCCUAAAGCGUUCGUAGCCGGUUUGAUAAGUCUCUGGUGAAAUCCUAUGGCUUAACUGUGGGAAUUGCUGGAGAUACUAUUAGACUUGAGGUCGGGAGAGGUUAGCGGUACUCCCAGGGUAGGGGUGAAA
rnacentral:rRNA from 1 species